rnacentral:lncRNA from 1 species
CUUUAGCUUCCUCAGUCUGGUGGGAUUUCAAAACUGUAAAAGCAAUUUCUAUAAUUGGAAAAUGACACUAAUGAAUCCAGUAAAUUUAGCCCCCUACUUUCAAAAUCACAGAUUACUUUAAUAUGUUUCCAUGUGUUCAUUGAAUACAUCUUUCAUGCUAACAGAAAACAAUGAGUAUAAGGAGUUAUACUGUACUAUAUAUAAAAAGAACAAACCCUUUAUGGAGUGGCAAAAUAACCCAAACUCUGCUCCUAAAAAGGACAGAUUCAAGUCCCUCCAAGCCACGGCACAGUCUGAGAUCAGGAAGAUGCAAGACCAAUGGUGGGAAAAAAAGGCAGAAGAAAUCCAGCGCUUUGCUGACACGAAAAACUAUGAACAAUUUUUCAGUGCCCUCAAGACUGUCUCUUGGCCAUUAAAAUCCGCCACUGCCCCCUUGUUAUCCUCUGACGGUGACACUCUCAUAAAAGACAAAAAAGGCAUCAGCAACAGAUGGAAAGAACACUUCAGUAAGCUUCUCAACCGACCCUCUUCAGUCGACCAAAGCACCCUUGACCAGAUCCCCCAAAACUGCAUCAUGGAGCAACUUGACAUCCCUCCUUCAAUAGAGGAAGUCCAGAAAGCCAUUAAACAAAUGAGUGCAGGCAAGGCACCUGGUAAAGAUGGGAUCCCAACCGAGGUGUACAAGGCCUUAAAUGGAAAGGUGCUCCAGGAAUUCCACAUAGUGCUGACGAGCAUAUGGGAAGAGGAAGACAUGCCCCCAGAACUCAGAGAUGCCUCCAUCGAAGCCCUAUACAAGAAGAACAAAGGCUCACAAGCAGCCUGUGACAACUACAGAGGCAUCUCACUGCUGGAAAGAUCCUCGCCCGUGUUAUACUCAACAGACUCCUAUCAUCUGUUUCAGAGCAGAACCUGCCUGAAUCACAAUGUGGCUUCCGACCAGAUCGCAGUACCAUCGACAUGGUCUUGGCAAAUGCAGGAAAAAUGCCUUGAGCAGAACCUGAGUCUCUACAUUGUCUUCAUAGACCUGACAAAGGCGUUAAACACAGUGAACAGGGACGCAUUGUGGGUGAUCCUCAGCAAGCUCGGUUGCCCAGAAAAAUUCGUCAAACUGAUCCAGCUCUUUCAUGUCGACAUGACAAGGGAAGUCCUAUCUAGUGGAGAGACUUCAGAUUGCUUCAACAUCUCCAAUGGCGUGAAACAAGGCUAUGUUCUCACUCCGGUACUAUUCAACCUAUUCUUCACCCAAGUAUUACAACAUGCUGUGAUGGAUCUAGACCUGGGCGUCUACAUCAAAUACUGACUGGAUGGCUCACUAUUUGAUCUUUGCCACCUGACUGCAAAAACAAAGACAACAGAGAGACUCAUCCUGGAAGCUCUCUUAGCAGAUGACUGUGCUCUCAUGGCCCUCCAAGAAAAUCAUCUCCAAACCAUUGUGGACAGGUUCUCCACCACAACAAAACUGUUUGGCCUGACUAUCAGCCUCAGUAAAACAGAGGUGCUGUUCCAACCUGCACUAGGGAGGCCAACAAACCAGCCGUGCAUUACAAUCAAUGGCACGCAGCUUUUUAACGUCAACACUUUCAAG